UACGAAGGGGGCUAGCGUUGUUCGGAAUCACUGGGCGUAAAGCGCACGUAGGCGGACUUUCAAGUCAGGGGUGAAAUCCCGGGGCUCAACCUCGGAACUGCCUUUGAUACUGUUGGUCUCGAAUCCGGUAGAGGUGGGUGGAAUUCCUAGUGUAGAGGUGAAAUUCGUAGAUAUUAGGAAGAACACCGGUGGCGAAGGCGGCCCACUGGACCGGUAUUGACGCUGAGGUGCGAAAGCGUGGGGAGCAAACAGG
rnacentral:rRNA from 2 species